rnacentral:rRNA from 1 species
GUCUACGGCCAUAUCACCCUGAACGCACCAGAUCUCGUUUGAUCUCGGAAGCUAAGCAGGGUCGGAACUGGUUAGUACUUGGAUGGGAGAAAUAGUCAAGGAUAAUUAGAAAUGCCUUUGACU